rnacentral:rRNA from 1 species
GAUCAUGGCUCAGAUUGAACGCUGGCGGCAGGCCUAACACAUGCAAGUCGAACGGUAACAGGAGAAGCUUGCUUCUUUGCUGACGAGUGGCGGACGGGUGAGUAAUGUCUGGGAAACUGCCUGAUGAGGGGGAUAACUACUGGAAACGGUAGCUAAUACCGCAUAACGUCGCAAGACCAAAGAGGGGGACCUUCGGGGCCUCUUGCCAUCGGAUGUGCCCAGAUGGGAUUAGCUAGUAGGUGGGGUAACGGCUCACCUAGGCGACGAUCCCUAGCUGGUCUGAGAGGAUGACCAGCCACACUGGAACUGAGACACGGUCCAGACUCCUACGGGAGGCAGCAGUGGGGAAUAUUGCACAAUGGGCGCAAGCCUGAUGCAGCCAUGCCGCGUGUAUGAAGAAGGCCUUCGGGUUGUAAAGUACUUUCAGCGGGGAGGAAGGGAGUAAAGUUAAUACCUUUGCUCAUUGACGUUACCCGCAGAAGAAGCACCGGCUAACUCCGUG